AUGGAUCUGAGAACGCUGUCUGGGCUUGGUGCCAAGUGCUGGUAUUUCACAGCAGCGACCGCCUCACAGACGGGCUGUGGGAAGCAGGAGGGAGACUCUCUUAGGGUGCCACUACUAUGGAGACACAGCUGGGCUGAACAAGAUUUGCUUCAAACGACAACAAGAGAGACAGAAAGUAUCUGGUUCAACCGCUGCCCAAGCAGGCAGGCACCAGAAGAGCUAGCAGCCAAUCCGGCCAUGCUCGAAGCCAGCUCUGCAGCUCAGCCAAUCAGUGACAUCACUGGCCAUUGGAAAUUUUGUUGGGAUAAUCCUCCAAAUGAAUUUGAAGCAUUCUAUUCAAAUGAUGAUUUAUACAGAUUUGAUUUGCAAAUUCUACAGAUGCACGGCUGGUGGUGUGGCUCAGACGGAGCAAGGGUUACAUCAAGGCUGUUCUCUGGACCGUGCAAACAGUCUAGACCAAUGACCUGCAGCAUCAUGCCCUUUGAAGAAGAGGCAAGUUCGGUCAUGAUGAAGAAAAAUCAAGGCGUACCCCUUUUAACAAUAGGGAGCAGCUCGAGGCUGCAAAGAGGUUAUUUAUCAUUAAAAUGGCAUUGUUAUGUGAUGACUCAGAAGUUAACAGAGUUUGUGGCUGCUUUUGAGAAAGAAAACUCUUAA
ensembl:lncRNA